rnacentral:misc_RNA from 1 species
CGCACAUUGCACUCUGUUUACGCAGAGUAUGCCUGUUUGAGAAUCUAUAGUAUUCAUUUCUGAGUUUUUCAGAAGAUUUGCGCUCUGCCUUUUGGCUGGUGCUAAAUUGAUUACUUGACUGGUGGUGAAUGUCUGACACUGCUUGUAUUCGAACGCUAUGAAUGAAGCGCAAGUUUCUUAUUGGCCGACAAUGCAGCAGCUAGUUUACUACUGGGUAGAGUUCAACCUUAAGACGCCUUCGGGUGAUCUGAACCAAGGUCUCAAAUCAGGUAGGAAGACCCGCUGAACUUAA